GCCUGGCUGGCUUAGUUGGUGGACUAUGUGACUCUUGAUCUCAUAGUUGUGAGUUCAAGUCCCACACUGGGCA
rnacentral:tRNA from 1 species